AGCCUGAGACCUUCCUCCUGAGGGCGUGAGUCGGCGUCUGCACACCUGUCCUCCAUCUACUCAUUUGGAGGCAUAUAAAUGGAGGAGGAUGCUGACACUUCUCUGCCAGAGUGUUAGCCAGUAACGCUACCCUGGUCCGGAGCUAUCAGGUCAUCAAUCACCCUCGAGACGGAACCCUCACCGCCUUGAGUCUUACCUGUCCGUCCUCUGCCGCCGCCUCUGAUCUCAACCCGCUGACCAGCCUCUGGAUCCUCAAGAUCCUCUCCCGGUCCAACACUCUCCCGGAACAGGUAGAACCCUCGAUCUCCACCAAACGGCAAAUUUCCUGGGUCUUGACUAAUCAUCUCUGUCCUCCCCUAGUUGCCCUGAGAUCUGCCAGACGAAGCAGGAUCCUAAUUCUUAUUGUUUGAAUUCACUGUAAAUAAAUCACACUAUUGUA